AUCUUGAAGUAGGACCAUUUGGGUGCAGGU
rnacentral:piRNA from 1 species